CCUACGGGAGGCAGCAGUGAGGAAUAUUGGUCAAUGGACGAGAGUCUGAACCAGCCAAGUAGCGUGAAGGAUGACUGCCCUAUGGGUUGUACACUUCUUUUAUAAAGGAAUAAAACGAGGCACGGGUGCCUUUUUGCAUGUACUUUAUGAAUAAGGAUCGGCUAACUCCGUGCCAGCAGCCGCGGUAAUACGGAGGAUCCGAGCGUUAUCCGGAUUUAUUGGGUUUAAAGGGAGCGUAGAUGGGUUGUUAAGUCAGUUGUGAAAGUUUGCGGCUCAACCGUAAAAUUGCAAUUGAUACUGGCAGUCUUGAGUACGGUUGAAGUAGGCGGAAUUCGUGGUGUAGCGGUGAAAUGCUUAGAUAUCACGAAGAACCCCGAUUGCGAAGGCAGCUUACUAAACUGUGACUGACAUUGAUGCUCGAAAGUGUGGGUAUCAAACAGGAUUAGAUACCCUAGUAGUC
rnacentral:rRNA from 1 species